rnacentral:rRNA from 1 species
CCUGGGAACUGCGUUNUGAACUGGGUGACUAGAGUGUGUCAGAGGGAGGUAGAAUUCCACGUGUAGCAGUGAAAUGCGUAGAGAUGUGGAGGAAUACCGAUGGCGAAGGCAGCCUCCUGGGAUAACACUGACGUUCAUGCCCGAAAGCGUGGGUAGCAANCAGGAUUAGAUACCCUGGUAGUCCACGCCCUAAACGAUGUCGAUUAGCUGUUGGGCAGCAUGACUGCUUAGUAGCGAAGCUAACGCGUGAAAUCGACCGCCUGGGGAGUACGGUCGCAAGAUUAAAACUCAAAGGAAUUGACGGGGACCCGCACAAGCGGUGGAUGAUGUGGAUUAAUUCGAUGCAACGCGAAGAACCUUACCUGGUCUUGACAUGUGCGGAACCCUCCAGAGACGGAGGGGUGCCUUCGGGAGCCGUAACACAGGUGCUGCAUGGCUGUCGUCAGCUCGUGUCGUGAGAUGUUNGGUUAAGUCCCGCAACGAGCGCAACCCUUGUCAUUAGUUGCCAUCAUUAAGUUGGGCACUCUAAUGAGACUGCCGGUGACAAGCCGGAGGAAGGUGGGGAUGACGUCAAGUCCUCAUGGCCCUUAUGACCAGGGCUUCACACGUCAUACAAUGGUCGGUACAGAGGGUAGCCAAGCCGCGAGGUGGAGCCAAUCUCACAAAACCGAUCGUAGUCCGGAUUGCACUCUGCAACUCGAGUGCAUGAAGUCGGAAUCGCUAGUAAUCGCAGGUCAGCAUACUGCGGUGAAUACGUUCCCGGGUCUUGUACACACCGCCCGUCACACCAUGGGAGUGGGGGAUACCAGAAGUAGGUAGGGUAACCGCAAGGAGCCCGCUUACCACGG